UCUCCCCAGCGGGCGCUCCCGUGAACCGGGUCCGCGUGCGCCCAGCAGCGGGCGGCGCUCCCGCGGCCUCCUCCACAGCCGUACACCGAGCCCAGCGUGCCCCGAACCAAACCAGAGCGAGCGUCCAAAACCCCGCUUUGCAGCUGGCAAAGCCUUCUCCCGGAAGCCACCCUGCCACUGCGAGCACGAGCGCGAGCGCGAGACGGCCCAUGGCUCCGCCGGCGCCAUUCCUCUACGCCCGCAACUCCGGCGACGGCACUAGCCAGGACGCGGCCCCGCGGGCGGCCUUCGAGGGCGACCUCCAGCGUCUCAGAGGUACUGUAAAGAGUCUUGUCGACCCAAGGGUGGUCUUCUCUUUCGAAAUGGGUGGCCUUGGGGUGCUGCACCUCGCAGCCUGCAGUGGGCAUCUUGAAGCUUGCAAGUACUUGGUGGAGGAACUGGGGGGAGAUGUGAAUGCUCCUGCUCCUGGAGUUGGAGACUUUGCAGGUGUGACACCCUUUAUGACAUCUGCUCAGUCCGGCGAUGUUUCGACUGUGAAGUAUUUGCUUGAUCGUGGUGGUGAUGUAACUAAAGCAGAUGGUCAAGGACGCACAGUUCUUCACCAUGCGGCAUGCAAAGGAAGCUGUAAGGUUACUGAGUUUCUACUUUCAAAAGGAGUACCUGUUGACAUAGACUGUGGCCGUGGUACACCGCUCCAUCAAGUUGCUACCAACGAAAAGGAUAAAACAGUGAAGAUUUUGUUGGAACACCAUGCAGAUCCUAACACUACUGUAACCGGUUUGGGUACUGCCCUGAUGGGUGCUCUUUUAUACCGUUCAUUGAAAUGCAUGAAGCUGCUGAUUAAGGGUGGUGCUGAUGUCAAUCGAAGGAACUCCCUUCUGGCUACUCCGUUGGUGGUCGCUACAGGGCACAAAGGCUAUACCAACUUUGUGCAGUUUCUGUUGAAGGCAGGAGCGGAUCCAAAUAUUCCCGAUGCUCUACGGUUGCUUCUACUGCAGCAAGUGCUCCAACAUCUAUAUGGUAGGUUACCAGUAGAGCAUGCUGCGAGACGUGACUGCAGGGAAGAAGUUGAAAUGCUGUUUCCUUUGACUUUCCCAAUUCCAACUAUCCCAAACUGGAGUGUAGAUGGAAUCAUCUUGCAUGCAAAAUUUGAAAGUGCAAAGCCGCUGGACCAAAGCCACCUUGAACGAACAAAAGCUAUAAUGAAGUCACAGGCAGAUCAUGCAUUCAGGCUGAAGGACUAUAAGUUGGCAUCAAAAGCAUAUGGUGUGGCAAUAAAUGCAGCGCCGAGUGCAACAUUGUACGCGAACAGGAAUCUUUGUAAACUGCUGUUGGAUGAUGGUGAAGGUGCUCUGUCAGAUGCUCUCAGAUGCAGAAUGCUGCGACCUAACUGGGCAAAAGCUUGCUACCGUCAGGCUGCAGCUCACAUGCUACUAAAAUCUAUAUAGUUGCUCAUGUUCCUUUGAUGUGCUUUACGUCUAGGAGUAUAAACAAGCUUGUGAUGCUCUCCUGGACGCUCAAAAAUUAGAUCCUGGAAACACAGAGGUUGAGAGAGAGCUACGGAAGGCCAGGGAAUUAAUGAAAGCUCCUGGUGAAGCUGACAAGUGAAGCAUGGUGUUUAGCGUUAGAGUAGACCUUAUGCUUUAUGCUUUCUUAGGGGAAUGUUCUUUUGGAUUCCGUUAGAGUAGUUGGUCAACUGAAUCUGAUGGUACUUAUGCGAGUAGAAGACUGGGGUGCUGUAAAACUUGCUGACUUGCGUAGAAACGAGAUUAAUCAGGAAGCAGGGGCGCUGAAAUGCGGAUGGGCGUUUACCACUUGAGUUAAUUACGUUACAAGGUUGACUGAAUCCAGUACAAAUGCUCAAUCUGAAUGAUGAUUCCUUAUGAAUUUUGAAUAUUUGACAAUCUUUCAGUC